rnacentral:lncRNA from 1 species
AUAAAAACAAUUAAAAAAAAAACACCCAAAAGGAGAAAAACCAAGAGAAAAAAACCUAAAGAAAAAGAAAAAGGAAGGAAAACAUUUCUGUAAGAAAAACAGAGAGAAAAAAAUUAUUUUCUGCAAAAGAAUCUCGCCCAAAUUCAGUUGCCAUCCUUUUACCAGCCCUGAAAUCUGAGGAAAGCGGCGGCGAAGUAAACAACGUCAAUCCAGAAACCUCCACAUCAGUUGAUCCUCCUUGCCCAUCGACAAAACAUGGCACAGACAAGCUUUAGCGCCGAUUAAACUAGUAAAGAGAGA